UGUUGGUUAAGGUUGUGGCCUGCUUUUUGCUUUAUUUCUGAAUGGUCAUUAAUUCUUUAGGUCACCUGCCGAUGGUGAAGGUGCCUGAGGAGCCUGGUGUUACUCAGCACUGCUCUGCUGGGUGGGUGGAGCAGGGUUCUCAGUUGGUGCUUCACCUGCCUUGGCCUCUUUGCCAUCUUGUGAAGGAGCGUUAGGAGGACGCGGGCGACGCCGGUAAUUGUAGGGACGCCGGUAUCCACGGCGAACAGACGGCUGGUUUGGACCACUGGUGGCUUGCUGAUUUUCUUUAUCUUCAGCCUCUCCAACUGCUGGGGCAGGUCGUGGGCGAGGAGGUCCCCUGCUACGGUACCUUGGGCGGUAAGUUGGAUUUCGAUGAACCGGUCCCUGAAGUUGUGCUCCCUCUGGGACUCCAUCCUUCAUCUCUCCAAUCUCACCAGCAUUCCGGGGAGGGCCACGGCGCCUUCCAUAGUAGCCACGUCUGUAACGGCGCCGAUCUGCAGCGUAACGACUCCCUUCCACAGGAACUCCAUCCGGGCCAGUCACAUUGGCAGCUUCUGCACCCUUCUCUCCUUCAACCACAUCAAACUCUACAGUUUCUCCAUCUCCUACACUGCGCAGAUAUUUCCGUGGGUUAUUCUUCUUGAUGGCAGUCUGAUGUACAAAUACAUCUUCUUUGGUGUCAUUUCGAUUUAUAAAUCCAUAUCCAUUUCUGACGUUGAACCAUUUGACAGUGCCAAGGACUUUGGUGGCGAGAACUUUUUUCUCCGCGUCUUCGCUGCCGGCGGCGGUGGCUAAAGAGGCGGCGGCCGCGGUGCCCGUGGCUGCGGGGGCCGCGUCCCCACCGGGGUUUCCUGCGACGUGGGCGGCGGGCGCCGGGGCCGCGGCCUGGGGCGCACCGCUGCCCACCGGGCUCUUGGGCGCGGGGUCCUGGGGAGCCGCGGCGGCCGCCUCCGUCGGAGCCUGCGGGAGGGUGGUGGUGGUGGUGGUGGUGGCCUCGCCCGCCUCACUCAUGCCUCCUCCUCCUCUGCUCUCGCUCAGGCGCCUCGGUGGCGGUUGGUCGGCGGUUAGCGCGGCUGGUGGUCGCGGCGGCCGGGGCUCGCUCUCGGGGAGGCCGGGGCGGAUCUCGCGGCGCAGGCGGCGGCGGCCGAGGUGGGGUCGCGCGGCGGAGGCGGCUCGAGCUUCGUGCUGCGCGCUCUCUCUUGGGCUCCUCGCUCGAUCUUACUGCCCCAAAAAUGGCC
rnacentral:lncRNA from 1 species